GAUGAACGCUGGCGACGUGCCUAAUACAUGCAAGUCGAGCGAACGGACGAGAAGCUUGCUUCUCUGAUGUUAGCGGCGGACGGGUGAGUAACACGUGGAUAACCUACCUAUAAGACUGGGAUAACUUCGGGAAACCGGAGCUAAUACCGGAUAAUAUUUUGAACCGCAUGGUUCAAAAGUGAAAGACGGUCUUGCUGUCACUUAUAGAUGGAUCCGCGCUGCAUUAGCUAGUUGGUAAGGUAACGGCUUACCAAGGCAACGAUGCAUAGCCGACCUGAGAGGGGGAUCGGCCACACUGGAGCUGAGACACGGUCCAGACUCCUACGGGAGGCAGCAGUAGGGAAUCUUCCGCAAUGGGCGAAAGCCUGACGGAGCAACGCCGCGUGAGUGAUGAAGGUCUUCGGAUCGUAAAACUCUGUUAUUAGGGAAGAACAUAUGUGUAAGUAACUGUGCACAUCUUGACGGUACCUAAUCAGAAAGCCACGGCUAACUACGUG
rnacentral:rRNA from 1 species